CUUGCUUCAGUCAACAUAUGCUGAAAUUGAAAUGAUGCAGAGAAGAUUAGCAUGGCCCCUGCACAAGGAUGGUAUGCAAAUUUGUGAAGUGCUCCAUACGUUU